CGCAGCCGCGGUAAUUCCAGCUCCAAUAGCGUAUAUUAAAGUUGUUGCAGUUAAAAAGCUCGUAGUUGAAUUUCGGGGUCAGUAAGUUGGUCGUGCCACUGGUAUGUACUGGCUUUACUGAUUCCUCCUUCUUGUAGAACCGUAAUGCCAUUAAGUUGGUGUUGCGGGAAAACAGGACUGUUACUUUGAAAAAAUUAGAGUGUUUAAAGCAAGCUAACGCUUGAAUACAUUAGCAUGGAAUAAUGAAAUAGGACGAACGAUCCUAUUUUGUUGGUUUCUAGGAUUGACGUAAUGAUUAAUAGGGAUAGUUGGGGGCAUUAGUAUUCAAUUGUCAGAGGUGAAAUUCUUGGAUUUAUUGAAGACUAACUACUGCGAAAGCAUUUGCCAAGGAUGUUUUCAUUAAUCAAGAACGAAAGUUAGGGGAUCGAAGACGAUCAGAUACCGUCGUAGUCUUAACCAUAAACUAUGCCGACUAGGGAUCGGAUGAUGUUAAUUUUUUCAAUGACUCAUUCGGCGCCUU
rnacentral:rRNA from 1 species